rnacentral:sRNA from 1 species
GAGAUGCCGUCCCGCAACGAUGGCCCGGCGCUUCUCAAGAGGCGAUCAGCGAAGCCGUUUGCUGGAAAUCUACGACUACGACGGCUCACGAAAGCAUAUCUUGAGCCGCUGGAUGAUAAUAAUAAGGAAAUGUCACCGACAGUGGCGAAAAUCGACCAAAUUUAUGAUUUGAGUACGUCGGAAAAAAAAAUUUUCGCCUAGAAAUUCCUGGAAUUUUUCUGAAAAAGCUUAUACGUGAAUAGAUUCAUACAAAAAAUUGAAUUCGUUGGAGCCAAUUUUGAGAUUUUUUUUUUAAAUUAGAGGAUGCGUUUCGCAAAAAACUUCGAUAAAAUUCGUAAAAUAGGCAGAAAUUUACAACAACAAAAAAACUACUUGCCGAUUUGCCGGAAAGUUCAAAUACGGCAAUUUGCCGAUUUGGCGGAAAUUUUAAAUUUGCCAAUUUGCCGAUUUACCGGAAGAUUUCAAAUCCGCCAAUUUGCCGGAAAUUUUUCGAUUUAGCGGAAAUUUCUAUUCCGGCAAAGUGCCGAUUUGCCGGAAAUUUUAAAUUUGCCAAUUUGCCGAUUUACCGGGAGAUUUCAAAUCCGGUAAAUUGCCGAUUUGCCGGAAAUGUUCAAUUCCGGCAAAUUACCGAUUUACCGGGAUAUUUCAAAUCUGGUAAAUUGCCGAUUUGCCGGAUAUUUCAAAUCCGGCAAGUUUCCGAUACAAGCUUAAAAAACUGAAAAAAUUUUGAAAUUCCUAACAUUUUCCAGCACAAGAACUAAUUGUACAAUGCCAAAGUGUAACCAGUGGACUAUUUCCUCGAUAUUCAAAAGAUCGAGAUGUCGGAUAUGUGAAGGAUAGUAUCUACUGUGCAAUGGCCUGUUGGGCUUGCUCGGUGGCUUACAAGUAAGCCGAUUUUCAUCAGUAUCAGCAAAUACUUAAAAUUGAGAUUUCAGACGACUCGAUGAUGAUCGUGGAAGACAGACUGAGCUGAGACAAACUGCUGUGAAAACGAUGCGAGGAAUCUUGUUCUCGUGGAUGCAACAGAGCAAAAAUGUACGAUUUUGUUAGAAAAGAGUACACAGGAAAAAACUCUGAAAAAUCGGAAAAAAAUCGAAAAAUUAAUGAGAAAAAUCAAUGCAACAGGAAAAUAUGAAAAAUUGGAAAUUUUUCAAAAAAAACAAAUUUCGAAAAGCAGACACAGUUAGAAGAAAAUUAUGCAAAUUAAUUUUUUAAAGUAACGAAAAUAUUUAAAACUUUGAAUUUUUUUUUAUUUUCGAAAUUUAAAAAGUUCAAAAAUUCACGAUCAAUCAAAUAUCAAAAAUUUUGCAAAUAAAUCAAAACAUUUUUUCCGAUUUAUUAAAACCUGAACUUCAUGCCAGUAGCUUGGGUUCGUUCCGAUUUUUCAAAAAAAAUUUAAAAAAUCAAUUUUUUUCUGAAAAAAUAUUAGAUUUUCAAUUUUUCGACGAAAAAAAACGCUUGAUUUUUCUGGAUUUUUAAGUUUUUCGAGAAAUUAAAAUUUUUCGAUUUUUGAGAAAAAUUUUAAUUUUUCUUUUAAAAAAAUUAUAUUUUCAGAUUUUGUUAGUAAAAAUUAAAACGAUUUUUCAACCAAAGUAUUACGGGAACACUUCUGAGAAUGCGUAUUGUGCAACAUGUUUAACGUGCAAAAUAUCUCGUAGCGAAAACUACAGUACUCCUUUAAAUUACUACUGUAGCGCUUGUGUCGAUUUACGGGAUCUCGAUUUUUGAAAAUAAUAGAAAUCAUUCAUUUAUCGAUAGAGUAUAAAAAUUGAACAAAAUAUGAGCAAAUAAUACGGAGAAACGAAUGAAAAUAAAAUAUGUGUCAUUAGUCGAAAAAAAAAAUCAAUUUCAAAAAUCGAGCCCGUAAAUCGACACUAGCGCUACAGUAGUCAUUAAAAGAAUUACUGUAGUGUUCGCUACGAGAUAUUUUGCGCGUCAAAAAUGUUGUACAAUACGCAUUCUCAGAAUUUUGUGAUAAUGUAAUAUUUCUAAUUAUCACAUCCAUCAUUUCCCAGAAUUUAAGCUUCAAUCAAUAAUUCCAGCUCGACGCGUUCAAAUCCCAAAAUUCAUCAGAAUUCGCUCUCCACGCUCGUUUCGAUUUAUCAUCUGGAAUGGGUCUCGAAACGCCGAACGACGAUUUACACUAUGGACAUCUUCAAAUGGAUCUUGUUGCUCUUUAUCUACUCACAUUGGUACAAAUGAUUUCAGCCGGAUGCAAAGUUAUCUAUACUCAUCAUGAAGUGAAUUUCAUUCAAAAUCUCGUUUUCUACAUUGAACGUACCUAUCGUACGCCGGAUUUUGGAAUGUGGGAGCGUGGAACGAGAUAUAAUAAUGGAAAACCUGAACUUCAUGCCAGUAGCUUGGGUUCGUUCUGAUUUUUCAAAAAAAAAUUUUAAAAAAUCAAUUUUUUUUCUGAAAAAAUAUUAGAUUUUCAAUUUUUCGACGAAAAAAAAAGUUUUUCGAGAAAUUAAAAUUUUUCGAUUUUUGAGAAAAAUUUUAAUUUUUCUUUUAAAAAAAUUAUAUUUUCAGAUUUUGUUAGUAAAAAUUAAAACGAUUUUUCAAUUUUUCAAUAAAAAUGGUUUUGAGAUUUUCUCCAACAAAAAGAGAAAAAAUUCGUUUUCCAACAAAAAAAAAUGUAGUUUUAAUUUUUGAUCGAAAAAUCCAAUUUAUUUGAGAGAAAAUUACUUAAUUUUUAGUUUUUUCAAGAAAUUUACGAGAAAAUUGUUCAAUUUUUCGUUUUCUCCCUUUUUUCAAAAAUGUUUUCUCAACUUUUUAAACAAAAAUGUCUAAUUUUUAAAUUUUCAGAUAUUUUUAAAACAAAUUUUAAUUUUCGAAACGAAAGUUUGCAUUUCCCAAUUUUUCAGUUUUUCUAAAAUUCUAAAUUUCCAAAAAAAAGCGGAGUUUUUUUUUUAAAUUUUUCUAAAAAGGCAAUUUUCAAAAUGUUCGAUUUUUUGAAAAAUUAGAAAGAAACCUGUUUAUUUUAAAACAUUUCGAAAAAAAUUCGAUUUUCAAAUUUCCUUUAAAAAUCAUAAUUCAGUUUUCUAGAUUCAAUUAAAAUUUUAGCUUUUCACAAAUAAAUAAUUCUGAAAACAUUAAAAAUAAGAAAAUGUUCCGAUUUUUUUAAAUUAUAAAAAAAAAAAAAAAAAUCCAAAACUAAAAAUUUCCAGGAAUGGUAAAAGCCGCCCUGGAAGCAAUCAAUGGUUUCAACCUAUACGGCAGUACGGGAACAUCAGCAUCAGUAAUCUACGUGGAUAUUGAUGGGCACAAUCGAAAUCGUACCACUUUUGAGACGAUUCUCCCACGGGAAAGUAACUCGAAAAAUACGGACGCCGCACUUUUGAUGACUGUCGGAUGGCCAGCAUUUGCUACUCACGAUGAGACACUUUUCGAGAAAACUAUGCAAAAAUGUGUGAGAAGGCUUGAAGGUCGAUUCGGAUUGAGAAG